rnacentral:rRNA from 1 species
GACGAACGCUGGCGGCGUGCUUAACACAUGCAAGUCGAACGGUAAGGCCCUUCGGGGUACACGAGUGGCGAACGGGUGAGUAACACGUGGGUGAUCUGCCCUGCACUUCGGGAUAAGCCUGGGAAACUGGGUCUAAUACCGGAUAGGACUCCUGGCUUCAUGGUUGGGGGUGGAAAGCUUUUGCGGUGGGGGAUGGGCCCGCGGCCUAUCAGCUUGUUGGUGGGGUAAUGGCCUACCAAGGCGACGACGGGUAGCCGGCCUGAGAGGGUGACCGGUCACAGUGGGACUGAGAUACGGCCCAGACCCCGACGGGAGGCAGCAGUGGGGAAUAUUGCACAAUGGGCGCAAGCCUGAUGCAGCGACGCCGCGUGAGGGAUGACGGCCUUCGGGUUGUAAACCUCUUUCAGCUAUGACGAAGCGCAAGUGACGGUAGUAGCAGAAGAAGGACCGGCCAACUACGUGCCAGCCGCCGCCGUAA